rnacentral:snRNA from 1 species
GGAUGUGAGAGUGAUCUGGCUGUGACAUCUGUCACCCCACUGACUGCCAGGGGUGACUAGGCUGAUGUGGCAGGCCUGGCAGGUGUUUCCUUCCUCCCUCACUGCUCCAUGUGCCUCCCUCCCAAAGCUGUGUGCUCAGUCAAAAAGGACCACUCUGCAAGAGGAAGACCGUUCAUCAGUCAAGGGUAUAUGAGUAGAUGCACUCCCCUGCCAGAACCUCCAAACAAGCUCUCAAGAACUUACAACUUAGCUUUCUAAUAUAUGACUCUAGACUUCUCUAAUCCCAGGUUCUCUAAGCAGCGAUU